AAACAUAUCACCCUGAGUUUUCAUUGAAAUCUUAGUACAUACUUUAUUUCUGUCCUGUGUGAAGAUACUGGAAAAAGGAACAUCUCCAGAGAACUUGAAAGGUGCUGUUUCAAUGAACACUUCAGGAAUUUGAGCCAGGUGUUUCGAAGACCAGAUCUGAGGAUUCGAUGCAGCGAGCUGUGACAACAAGGGACUGCAGCCUGGAAGAGGGUAAAAAGAAAAUGCAAGACCACCAUGCUGCAUCGGGAUCUCUGAAAGAACGUGAGGAAGACGGUUUCCAAAGGCAGGUGAAGAAAGUAAGUGUCCUUGAUGAAAUCAGUGGACAGAGAUCUAUGGACACUGAAGGGAAGGUGGACAUGAACGGAUGUGAGCUGGUGGGAAAGCAGCAGCUGUUGGCAGCAAAGGAGGAGGCAAAAUUGGCUGAAGAGGAGACAAGAUGGUACAAGAUAAGACUUGAAGAAUGUCACGGGCAAAUGCGGGAAGCAGAGAUCAUUUGGAGACACCAGGUAACCUGCCUUCCUCCUGACACACCGAGUCCUCAGCACCUGAUGCAGACA